rnacentral:rRNA from 1 species
UACGUAGGGGGCAAGCGUUGUCCGGAAUUAUUGGGCGUAAAGAGCGCGUAGGCGGUCCGAUAAGUCGGCUGUGAAAGUCAGGGGCUCAACCCUUGAAAGCCGGCCGAUACUGUCGGACUAGAGUCCGGAAGAGGCAAGUGGAAUUCCCGGUGUAGCGGUGAAAUGCGCAGAUAUCGGGAGGAACACCAAUGGCGAAGGCAGCUUGCUGGGACGGUACUGACGCUGAGGUGCGAAAGCGUGGGGAGCAAACAGGG